rnacentral:rRNA from 1 species
AGAUUGAACGCUGGCGGCAGGCCUAACACAUGCAAGUCGAGCGGCAGCACGGGUACUUGUACCUGGUGGCGAGCGGCGGACGGGUGAGUAAUGCCUAGGAAUCUGCCUGGUAGUGGGGGAUAACGCUCGGAAACGGACGCUAAUACCGCAUACGUCCUACGGGAGAAAGCAGGGGACCUUCGGGCCUUGCGCUAUCAGAUGAGCCUAGGUCGGAUUAGCUAGUUGGUGAGGUAAUGGCUCACCAAGGCGACGAUCCGUAACUGGUCUGAGAGGAUGAUCAGUCACACUGGAACUGAGACACGGUCCAGACUCCUACGGGAGCAGCAGUGGGAAUAGUUGGACAGUGGGCGAAGGUCCGUGAAGUCCAAGCCCAAUCGGCCGCGUUGGUGUAGAAAGAGGUCUUACGGAUUGUAAAGCUAACGUUUAAGGUGGAGG